AGUCGAGCGAAUGGAUUAAGAGCUUGCUCUUAUGAAGUUAGCGGCGGACGGCUGUGUAACACGUGGGUAACCUGCCCAUAAGACUGGGAUAACUCCGGGAAACCGGGGCUAAUACCGGAUAACAUUUUGAACCGCAUGGUUCGAAAUUGAAAGGCGGCUUCGGCUGUCACUUAUGGAUGGACCCGCGUCGCAUUAGCUAGUUGGUGAGGUAACGGCUCACCAAGGCAACGAUGCGUAGCCGACCUGAGAGGGUGAUCGGCCACACUGGGACUGAGACACGGCCCAGACUCCUACGGGAGGCAGCAGUAGGGAAUCUUCCGCAAUGGACGAAAGUCUGACGGAGCAACGCCGCGUGAGUGAUGAAGGCUUUCGGGUCGUAAAACUCUGUUGUUAGGGAAGAACAAGUGCUAGUUGAAUAAGCUGGCACCUUGACGGUACCUAACCAGAAAGCCACGGCUAACUACGUGCCAGCAGCCGCGGUAAUACGUAGGUGGCAAGCGUUAUCCGGAAUUAUUGGGCGUAAAGCGCGCGCAGGUGGUUUCUUAAGUCUGAUGUGAAAGCCCACGGCUCAACCGUGGAGGGUCAUUGG
rnacentral:rRNA from 1 species